GACGAACGCUGGCGGCGUGCCUAAUACAUGCAAGUAGGACGCAGUUGCGAACGGGUGAGUAACGCGUAGGCAACUGACUAUUAGAGGGGGAUAACUAUUGGAAACGAUAGCUAAUAACGAAUACUAGUAGAUGGACCUGCGUUGUAUUAGCUUGUGGGUAGGGUAAUGGCCUACCAAGGCAACGAUACAUAGCCGACCGGUGGAGGUGAGCGGCCACACUGGGACUGAGACACGGCCCAGACUCCUAAGGGGGGCAGCAGUAGGGAAUCUUGGGCAAUGGGGGGAACCCUGACCGAGCAACGGCGCGUGAUUGAAGAAGGUGUUCGGAUCGUAAAGCUCUGUUGUUAAGGAAGCGGUACUUAACCAGAAAGGGACGGCUAACUACGUGCCAGCAGCCGCGGUAAUAC
rnacentral:rRNA from 1 species